rnacentral:rRNA from 1 species
AGAGUUUGAUCCUGGCUCAGGGUGAACGCUGGCGGCGCGCUUAAUGCAUGCAAGUCGAACGUGCUUUCGGGCAAGUGGCAGACGGCUGAGUAACGCGUGAGUAACGUACCCUCCGGUGGGGUAUAGCCUCGGGAAACUGAGAGUGAUCCCGCAUACGAUCCGGUGGCUUCGGUCAUCGGAUGAAAGCCUUUGGCGCCGGAGGAGCGGCUCGCGUCCUAUCAGGUAGUUGGUGGGGUAAAAGCCUACCAAGCCGAUGACGGGUAGCUGGUCUUAGAGGACGAUCAGCCAGAGGGGGACUGAGACACGGCCCCCACUCCUACGGGAGGCAGCAGCAGGGAAUUUUGGGCAAUGGGCGAAAGCCUGACCCAGCGACGUCGCGUGGGGGAUGAAGGCCCUCGGGCUGUAAACCCCUUUUCCCGGGGAAGAGAAAGGACGGUACCCGGGGAAUAAGCUCCGGCUACCUACGUGCCACCAGCCGCGGUAAUACGUAGGGAGCGANCGUUACCCGGAAUUACUGGGGCCGUAAAGAGCGCGUAGGCGGCUUGGUUAAGUCUCUUGUUGA